UACACUCCUACGGGAGGCAGCAGUGGGGAAUAUUGGCCAAUGGGCGCAAGCCUGAUCCAGCCAUGCCGCGUGAGUGAUGAAGGCCCUAGGGUUGUAAAGCUCUUUCACCGGUGAAGAUAAUGACGGUAACCGGAGAAGAAGCCCCGGCUAACUUCGUGCCAGCAGCCGCGGUAAUACGAAGGGGGCUAGCGUUGUUCGGAUUUACUGGGCGUAAAGCGCACGUAGGCGGACUAUUAAGUCAGGGGUGAAAUCCCGGGGCUCAACCCCGGAACUGCCUUUGAUACUGGUAGUCUUGAGUUCGAGAGAGGUGAGUGGAAUUCCGAGUGUAGAGGUGAAAUUCGUAGAUAUUCGGAGGAACACCAGUGGCGAAGGCGGCUCACUGGCUCGAUACUGACGCUGAGGUGCGAAAGCGUGGGGAGCAAACAGGAUUAGAAACCCCGGUAGUCCCA
rnacentral:rRNA from 1 species